rnacentral:rRNA from 1 species
UUCUGCUCCAUGGUUGACCUAAAUAGCCGCAGUACUUUGACUGUGCAAAGGUAGCAUAAUCAAUUGGCUCAUAAUUGGAGUCUGGCAUGAAAGGGAACAUAAGUAGUUACUGUCUAUCCGUUUUUAAUAGAAAUUGCUCAGUAGGUGAAAAUACCUAUAUUAAGCUAGCAGACGAGAAGACCCUAGAAAUUUUAUAUAAUAUAAGUACAUAAUUAUUUUUAUUUUGUUGGGGCGACAGAAUAACAAUUAACUUAUUUUAAAUAAUUUGCAUUUAUUGGUAUGUGAAAAUAAAUUACUCUAGGGAUAACAGCAUAAUUCCUUGAUGAGUUUGUGACCUCGAUGUUGGACUAGGGUUUCUAACGAUCAGAAGUUGCUAGAGUAGGCUCUGUUCGAGCUGUUAAUCCCUACGUGAUCUGAGUUUCAGACCGGA